rnacentral:misc_RNA from 1 species
CCUUGAGAAGCGAGGAAAGGAUCAAAGAGAAGAAUCGGGCAGCAGGACGUGUAACCCCCCGAAGGGGAACCCCCGCCUGGAGGCGGGAAAGAAAGAGAACAAGACAAGAAAGCCAGUCGAUCAAGAGGAGCGUAGGAGGCUAUGGGUAUAGCAUCCAAGCUACUCGAGUGAACAGCAGGAACCAACUCUCCUUGAUUGGCUAAGAGAAUAUGGAUAGCAGUCAGGAUAAUAAAGGACUGAGAUCAAUCACAGAACCAGACCUCGAGUCGUAAUUGAUAGCUUUGGAAGCAGUAAAAAGCCUUAACGGGGUGAAGACAUUUCCAAUCGCCGUAGCAUUCAACCUGGCUUCUAUGAAUACCAGCCCAAUAGAGAUGAAUGAAAGAAGCAAGAAAAGAAGAAGGGUAAGUAGGAUCUUUCGGCUUUGCAGUGAUGGCUUGGAUGAUUUUCUUGUCCCGAUUGAACUACUUCCGCUGCAACAAUAGCAAAAGAAAGAGCUGUUGUCGGAAAAUCUUUUUUUCCUCUCUUAAGGCCAGGCCUUAAAGGGCGGAUACUUACUUUUACGAUGGUGGUUGUUUUACGCUCUCCCAAUCCACUUCUUUUCAAUCC